ensembl:snRNA U6 U6 spliceosomal RNA
UUGCUUUGACAGCAAGUUCACCAACAUUGAAACAACACAGAGAAGUUGGCAUGACUCUUACACACAGAUGACACACAACUCUGCAGAGCAAUCCAUGUUCUUU